UUAAGCGACUAAGCGUACACGGUGGAUGCCCUGGCAGUCAGAGGCGAUGAAGGACGUGCUAAUCUGCGAAAAGCGUCGGUAAGGUGAUAUGAACCGUUAUAGCCGGCGAUGUCCGAAUGGGGAAACCCAGUGCAAUUCGUUGCACUAUCGUUAACUGAAUACAUAGGUUAACGAGGCGAACCGGGGGAACUGAAACAUCUAAGUACCCCGAGGAAAAGAAAUCAACCGAGAUUCCCCCAGUAGCGGCGAGCGAACGGGGAGCAGCCCAGAGUCUGAAUCAGCUUGUGUGUUAGUGGAACGGUCUGGAAAGUCCGACGGUACAGGGUGAUAGUCCCGUACACCAAAAUGCACAGGNUGUGAACUCGAAGAGUAGGGCGGGACACGUGGUAUCCUGUCUGAAUAUGGGGGGACCAUCCUCCAAGGCUAAAUACUCCUGACUGACCGAUAGUGAACCAGUACCGUGAGGGAAAGGCGAAAAGAACCCCGGCGAGGGGAGUGAAAAAGAACCUGAAACCGUGUACGUACAAGCAGUGGGAGCACCUUCGGGUGUGACUGCGUACCUUUUGUAUAAUGGGUCAGCGACUUAUAUUCUGUAGCAAGGUUAACCGUAUAGGGGAGCCGCAGGGAAACCGAGUCUUAACUGGGCGUUAAGUUGCAGGGUAUAGACCCGAAACCCGGUGAUCUAGCCAUGGGCAGGUUGAAGGUUGGGUAACACUAACUGGAGGACCGAACCGACUAAUGUUGAAAAAUUAGCGGAUGACUUGUGGCUGGGGGUGAAAGGCCAAUCAAACCGGGAGAUAGCUGGUUCUCCCCGAAAGCUAUUUAGGUAGCGCCUCGUGAAUUCAUCUUCGGGGGUAGAGCACUGUUUCGGCUAGGGGGUCAUCCCGACUUACCAACCCGAUGCAAACUACGAAUACCGAAGAAUGUUAUCACGGGAGACACACGGCGGGUGCUAACGUCCGUCGUGAAGAGGGAAACAACCCAGACCGCCAGCUAAGGUCCCAAAGUCAUGGUUAAGUGGGAAACGAUGUGGGAAGGCACAGACAGCCAGGAUGUUGGCUUAGAAGCAGCCAUCAUUUAAAGAAAGCGUAAUAGCUCACUGGUCGAGUCGGCCUGCGCGGAAGAUGUAACGGGGCUAAACCAUGCACCGAAGCUGCGGCAGCGACACUAUGUGUUGUUGGGUAGGGGAGCGUUCUGUAAGCCUGCGAAGGUGACCUGUGAGGGUUGCUGGAGGUAUCAGAAGUGCGAAUGCUGACAUAAGUAACGAUAAAGCGGGUGAAAAGCCCGCUCGCCGGAAGACCAAGGGUUCCUGUCCAACGUUAAUCGGGGCAGGGUGAGUCGACCCCUAAGGCGAGGCCGAAAGGCGUAGUCGAUGGGAAACAGGUUAAUAUUCCUGUACUUGGUGUUACUGCGAAGGGGGGACGGAGAAGGCUAUGUUAGCCGGGCGACGGUUGUCCCGGUUUAAGCAUGUAGGCUGAUUGUCCAGGCAAAUCCGGAUAAUCAAGGCUGAGGUGUGAUGACGAGGCACUACGGUGCUGAAGUAACAAAUGCCCUGCUUCCAGGAAAAGCCUCUAAGCAUCAGGUAACAUCAAAUCGUACCCCAAACCGACACAGGUGGUCAGGUAGAGAAUACCAAGGCGCUUGAGAGAACUCGGGUGAAGGAACUAGGCAAAAUGGUGCCGUAACUUCGGGAGAAGGCACGCUGGUGUGUAGGUGAAGUCCCUGCGGAUGGAGCUGAGACCAGUCGAAGAUACCAGCUGGCUGCAACUGUUUAUUAAAAACACAGCACUGUGCAAACACGAAAGUGGACGUAUACGGUGUGACGCCUGCCCGGUGCCGGAAGGUUAAUUGAUGGGGUUAUCCGUAAGGAGAAGCUCUUGAUCGAAGCCCCGGUAAACGGCGGCCGUAACUAUAACGGUCCUAAGGUAGCGAAAUUCCUUGUCGGGUAAGUUCCGACCUGCACGAAUGGCGUAAUGAUGGCCAGGCUGUCUCCACCCGAGACUCAGUGAAAUUGAACUCGCUGUGAAGAUGCAGUGUACCCGCGGCAAGACGGAAAGACCCCGUGAACCUUUACUAUAGCUUGACACUGAACAUUGAGCCUUGAUGUGUAGGAUAGGUGGGAGGCUUUGAAGCGUGGACGCCAGUCUGCGUGGAGCCAACCUUGAAAUACCACCCUUUAAUGUUUGAUGUUCUAACGUUGGCCCCUUACCGGGGUUGCGGACAGUGUCUGGUGGGUAGUUUGACUGGGGCGGUCUCCUCCCAAAGCGUAACGGAGGAGCACGAAGGUUAGCUAAUCCUGGUCGGACAUCAGGAGGUUAGUGCAAUGGCAUAAGCUAGCUUGACUGCGAGCGUGACGGCGCGAGCAGGUGCGAAAGCAGGUCAUAGUGAUCCGGUGGUUCUGAAUGGAAGGGCCAUCGCUCAACGGAUAAAAGGUACUCCGGGGAUAACAGGCUGAUACCGCCCAAGAGUUCAUAUCGACGGCGGUGUUUGGCACCUCGAUGUCGGCUCAUCACAUCCUGGGGCUGAAGUAGGUCCCAAGGGUAUGGCUGUUCGCCAUUUAAAGUGGUACGCGAGCUGGGUUUAGAACGUCGUGAGACAGUUCGGUCCCUAUCUGCCGUGGGCGCUGGAGAAUUGAGGGGGGCUGCUCCUAGUACGAGAGGACCGGAGUGGACGCAUCACUGGUGUUCGGGUUGUCAUGCCAAUGGCACUGCCCGGUAGCUAAAUGCGGAAGAGAUAAGUGCUGAAAGCAUCUAAGCACGAAACUUGCCCCGAGAUGAGUUCUCCCUGAGACUUUAAGUCUCCUGAAGGAACGUUNGACGUUGAUAGGCCGGGUGUGUAAGCGCAGCGAUGCGUUGAGCUAACCGGUACUAAUGAACCGUGAGGCUUAACCUU
rnacentral:rRNA from 1 species